AUUUUCGUAGUUGAAUCACAACAACAGCUCUUCAUGCAGUAAGUUUGGGUUAAACCCCCAACGAAAAUU
rnacentral:tRNA from 1 species